rnacentral:rRNA from 1 species
GACGAACGCUGGCGGCACGCCUAACACAUGCAAGUCGAACGGACUUACAAGAGCUUGCUUUUUUAAGUUAGUGGCGGACGGGUGAGUAACACGUGAGCAACCUGCCUCUGAGAGGGGGAUAGCUUCUGGAAACGGAUGGUAAUACCCCAUAAAAUAUAAAUAUCGCAUGAUAGAUAUAUCAAAGAAAUUCGCUCAGAGAUGGGCUCGCGUCUGAUUAGAUAGUUGGUGAGGUAACGGCUCACCAAGUCGACGAUCAGUAGCCGGACUGAGAGGUUGAACGGCCACAUUGGGACUGAGACACGGCCCAGACUCCUACGGGAGGCAGCAGUGGGGAAUAUUGCACAAUGGAGGGAACUCUGAUGCAGCGAUGCCGCGUGGAGGAAGAAGGUUUUCGGAUUGUAAACUCCUUUUAUCAGGGACGAUAAUGACGGUACCUGAAGAAAAAGCGCCGGCUAACUACGUG